AUUGAACGCUGGCGGCAGGCCUAACACAUGCAAGUCGAGCGGAUGAAGGGAGCUUGCUCCUGGAUUCAGCGGCGGACGGGUGAGUAAUGCCUAGGAAUCUGCCUGGUAGUGGGGGAUAACGUCCGGAAACGGGCGCUAAUACCGCAUACGUCCUGAGGGAGAAAGUGGGGGAUCUUCGGACCUCACGCUAUCAGAUGAGCCUAGGUCGGAUUAGCUAGUUGGUGGGGUAAAGGCCUACCAAGGCGACGAUCCGUAACUGGUCUGAGAGGAUGAUCAGUCACAUGGGAACUUAAACACGGUCCAGACUCCUACGGGAGGCAGCAGUGGGGAAUAUUGGACAAGGGGCGAAAGCCUGAUCCAGCCAUGCCGCGUGUGUGAAGAAGGUCUUCGGAUUGUAAAGCACUUUAAGUGGGGAGGAAGGGCAGUAAGUUAAUACCUUGCUGUUUUGACGUUACCAACAGAAUAAGCACCGGCUAACUUCGUG
rnacentral:rRNA from 1 species